rnacentral:lncRNA from 1 species
CCACCCUUGCUUCAGGCCAAGUAUCAAUCCAAAUUUGGUUUGCAAAGGCCAUAUCCAACUUUGUUUGAGUGAAAUUAGGCUCUGGGGAGUUAUUCGUCCAAGUAUACUCUCCACCUAUUGAAUGUAGCUCCAAUAACUGAACUAUAUCCGUAGUCUGUAUAAACUCAGCAGGCCCCCCAUGAUUAUAUGCUCCAAAUCCUUACCUUUCCUCAGGUGAUCUUAUUUCAUUAAAAUCCCCCCUACAAGCCACGGAGAAGACGAUAUAGGUCCAAUUUGCUGCAAAAGAUUCCAGAGUUGCCUUCUGUCAUCCCUAGAGGUAGUCUUACCAUAUACUGGCGUAUGGAAUAAGAUCAGACCUCCUGAAUUCCUCAAUUUUGCAUGGAUUAACUGAGGAUGAGAGACUAAUAUAUAUCUACUGACCAGAUUUUUUUCCUCCAAAACAAUCAAAUGGAGUCUGGAGAUGCAGGACUGGAAGAGUCAGCAUUAUUAUGCGAUUCCCAUUCUGGUCCAAACGUAUCUCUAAUCGACUGAGCUUUAUGCGGUUUAAUUUUAGUUUCCAAUAUUGAAAAUAUAUCUAUGGCCUUAGACCUGACUAAUUUCUUGAUUUCAUUAUGUGAUUCGAAGGAGUUAAACCCCCUAAUGUUCCAAAUCAAGAAAGCCAUUAUGAAUUUUCUGGUAGGAGAUCAACUGCCCUUCAGUGCGGCUUCUUCCGCACCUACUUUGGAGCUUAAAUCCCCUUCAUGGGCAUAAUAUUUUUUCUUCCUACUCGCAUU